rnacentral:rRNA from 1 species
AACGAACACUGGCGGCGUGGAUUAGGCAUGCAAGUCGAACGAGAAAGCUCCCUUCGGGGGGUGAGUAGAGUGGCGAACGGGACAGUAACGCGUGGGAAACCUGCCCUGCAGUGGGGGAUAACACUUCCAACGAGGUGCUAAUACCGCAUACGACCUCCGGUCGCAUGACCGGUCGGUGAAAGGUGGCCUCUGUUUACAAGCUGCCGCUGCUGGAUGGUCCCGCGUCCCAUUAGCUAGUUGGUAGGGUAACGGCCUACCAAGGCUGCGAUGGGUAGGCGGCCUGAGAGGGUGACCGCCGUCACUGGGACUGAGAUACGGCCCAGACUCCUACGGGAGGCAGCAGUCGAGAAGCUUCGGCAAUGGGCGAAAGCCUGACCGAGCGACGCCGCGUGAGCGAUGAAGGCCCUAGUGGUUGUAAAGCUCUGUCAGAUUGGGAAUAAACGCCGGGGGUGAAUAGCCUCCGGAACUGAAGGUACCGUCAGAGGAAGCACCGGCUAACUCCGUGCCAGCAGCCGCGGUAAUACGGAGGGUGCAAGCGUUGUUCGGAUUCACUGGGUAUAAAGGGUUCGUAGGCGGCCCUGUAAGUCAGAGGUGAAAGCUGCCGGCUCAACUGGCAAACUGCCUUUGAAACUGUGGGGCUUGAGUCCGGGAGAGGAAGGCGGAAUUCCAGGUGUAGCGGUGAAAUGCGUAAAUAUCUGGAGGAACACCGGUGGCGAAGGCGGCCUUCUGGUCCGGUACUGACGCCGAGGAACGAAAGCCAGGGGAGCAAACGGGAUUAGAUACCCCGGUAGUCCUGGCCGUAAACGAUGGGCACUAGGUGUUGGAGGAGUCUACCCCUUCAGUGCCGUAGCUAAUGCAUUAAGUGCCCCACCUGGGGAGUACGGUCGCAAGGCUG